GUGAUGUCCCAGCGAGCUGGCGUGAAGCCGGCUGAAACGCUUUAAAGCCAACAGAGUUAUGAGCUGUGAUUGAAGCUUCAGACGCAGGAAGUGAGGAGCUCGGGAUGAACAGGAAGAGGCGGGGUCUCUGGUGAAGAGGCGGAGUCUCAGAGGUUGUUGUCACACCACUCCCCCAGACAGUCAUAGCACAAUCCGGCCUGACGGAUGUUCGCGCCGCUGGCAUCCUUCAGCCAAUUGGUGAACCUCUGGCGGUCUCUAUUUAGCCUCAGGAACUGACCCAGAACUGCGUCGGCCUGGAAACACACAGAAAAUACAUUAAUUAUACACAGUAAAUACAUUACAAUCACACAGAGAACAUGAAAAAAAACACAGAAAAUACAU